AUGCGGGAGGCCACGCUGACGAUCCAUGUGCCCCGCGACCGAAUGGCCCGGAAGCGUUCCCGCACGCGUGGAAGGUUCGGAUCCAUUCCCUCCUCAUGCGCGAUUGGACGGUCACGAUUAAACGCGAUGAACGAUCUAGAUUUAUUUUCUUUUUAAACGUGUUUGUACGGUCGAGAUCAAAUUACCAUGAAUGGUCCGGAUUCAUUUAUUCUUUAAACGCGAUAUCACGGUAGAAAUCAAACGCGAUGAACGGUCCAGAUUACCACAAGACAAGUAUAAAUAUCUCAAAUCACAUCGAAUCCAAACCCUAGUCGCCAGAAUCCCGCUGGAGAAGAAGAUCCAGUCGCCGGAGAAGGGAGCCGACCGUUGUCCACCGCCACGCUUGAGCCACCUCCGACCACAAAAAAAGGUAAAAUUUCUCUUAUCCGCUCGAAAUUUGACUGAAGAAAAAUACCCAGCCAUGAAGGUGAGUUGGCAGAGCCACUG
rnacentral:lncRNA from 1 species